GACAGAGGGUGCGAACGUUGUUCGGAAUUACUGGGCGUAAAGCGCGUGUAGGCGGCAAUGCAAGUCGGGCGUGAAAUCCCACGGCUCAACCGUGGAAGUGCACUCGAAACUGCAUAGCUAGAGUCCUGGAGAGGAAGGUGGAAUGCUUGGUGUAGAGGUGAAAUUCGUAGAUAUCAAGCGGAACACCGGUGGCGAAGGCGGCCUUCUGGACAGUGACUGACGCUGAGACGCGAAAGCGUGGGGAGCAAGCAGG
rnacentral:rRNA from 1 species